rnacentral:lncRNA from 1 species
UUUUUCUUUUGUGUGUCCAUGACAAUGCAGAAGAAUUUAAGUUGUAUCGAUUUUUACGUGUUGCAGAAGCGUGGCAGAGAGGAGGCCGAUGAAACCAUGCCAGAGCUGACAUCUAUCCUUAAGGAGGUUGGAGAUGUUGGUAAAGGUUUGGUGAGGGGUGUGUAUCUCCUGAAAGCACCAAAGCUUCAGUAAACUACUUUGUGAAGAACUGAAGAUCUCAACGAACUAGCUGAUGCGCAAGAACGAUGCCUUCUAUUAUUUGCGGGAUAGCACAACUUCUAACUGGUUUUUUUCCCACUGGCAAGAUAGAAGCAUAGGUUCCAGGACAGUGUUUGUGCAUGCUGGCAAUAGAUUAAAUGUGGCAAUGUUCUCAUGAAAUCAUAAUGAUCUGUUGUGUUUAAAAUUUAUACUCGACAACUGAAAAGAUAAAAGAUCAAAGGUUUUGGGGUCUGUAUCCAAAUUUUGAUUUAGUAUAUAUCGAAAUGUAUUUUUUGCCACAUCUAUUGCAAUGAGAAUGCCAAUCCUCAAGCUUCAAGUACCAAGUUGCUUCUAUUUUGUUUCAUAUGAAAUGAGUACGAGCAGGUUCUUUGAACGCUGCUAGUCUGCUAAUGCCUGUCAUGAUCUGAUUUCGCGAUGUGGGAGCUCGAGAUUCGGAAACAUGAUGAUGCCGAUGUCUCGUCAUUUGCAGCUUUUAUGCAUUUUUGCCUUUCCAAGAGCCGGGAAGACCGUGUCCUUGUACGGUCGACAGCAACUUUGGCUUUUCGAAAUUUUUAUACAGGUAGUCAUCAAAUCAUUUCUAAAAAAACUUACUAAGAAAAUUCUAACAGUGUCGGCCUUAUACGGUUGACAAGCACUAUGAAGAAAAUGAAGCGUUAACAGAACCAAAAAACGAUGCUCUCGUUGAGAGUCGAACUCAAGACCUCCCGCUUACUAAACGGGUGCUCUAACCAACUGAGCUACGAGAGCUUUUAUGGUCGUAUUUUAAAAAAGUAAAAUAAACCAUCACUAACAAACACUGCGGAGUAAUGCUGAGAGCGUGGUAGCAAGUUUUUCCCCAUCUAUGUUUGAUCGGUGUAUAAUUUUUUCGUCAAAACCAAGAAAUGAUUAACUCGUCUUUUUCAUUUAAUCCUCGUGAUUAUCUGCUGUCACUGGACACGUAAUUGCUGCUCCUAUUUCCUGAUUCCCACGCAUCGUUGGUCUCUCUCUUCGCGCCACCUUAUUGCAGCCGACGCGAAACAGGCGGCCAUGAAGGGACGUUCAAUACUGGAAUUCCUUCUUUUUUUUUUGGUCAUGCAACGAUCAAAAGUGGAUGGAGGUAUACUUAUAGUUGGCAAGUAUGCAUACCCAUUUUCGUUGUUUGCGGGUGUGACCGCUCACUGGCUGGUUGCAAGUAGUUUUUAUCUUUGUAUUUUUUUUCUCUUUAAUAAAACUUUGCGGCAACUCUCUUGCCACCCUUUAAAAAAAACAAUAUGUAUAUCCAUCCCACGACGACACGACAAGCAAUGUAUAGCCACGCAAAUUAGAGUUGCAUACAUUUUUUCAUUCGUACGUACUGUACGACAUACACACACAUAGAUACAUGACGACGGAUCACGUACGAAGCCACGUAUACGGAACCCGUGGCCCCCUUAUUCAACACACGCAUACAUGUAUGUACGUACGCAGGAAAGCCAAAAUACACACACCGGGCGCGCGGGCCCGCCUCUCAGUCUCACACUCUCACACACGCGCAGCAUAUAUAUACGCGGAGAAAUUAAGAAGCGCAUACUAUGUAGACAAGAGAUACACGUCGGUGCUGGUGCAGAUGAGCUAGAUCAGCCGAAGAGGUGGUGGUGCUUCUUCUCGCCGCCGGCCUCCUCGGCGUCCUUGUGGUCCUUCUUCUUCUCGUGGUGCUCGUGGAAGGCGAAGCCGCCGGAGCCCACGGCCGCCGCCGCCGCGACCUCCUCCUCGAUCUUGUGCCGGUGCGCGUGCUCGGGGUCCUUCUUCGCCUCGUGCUUCUCGUACUGCAUGCACACAAGGAAUUAUUUAACUCAGAGCCAAAGUUCAUUCGCGUCGCGGCCGAUAGAUCACACAGUGAAAUUAAAGAUUGAUCAGCACAACGAAGGAAGCACGAAAGAUCGAGGAGGAGGAGGACGUACAAGAGCGAAGGCGCCGGCGGCGACGGCGCCUGCCUCGCCGAGGUGCUGCUUGUGCUUGUGCUCCUUCUCCUCCUUCUUGUACGUGUCGUACUCGUCCUCGCCGGUGGACACCACCUCCGUCACGGUCGCCUCCGUGUACUCGCCGUACCCGCCGGCGGGCUGCUCCGCCGCCUCAUCGUCCUUCUUGUGGUUGAAGAGGUGGUGGUGGUGGUGCUUCUCCUCCGCCAUGGAUGAAACGGGACGGCCUUGUUGAAGCGCGAGAGUGACAAUAGGAUGGUGGUGCUUGCUUGGUAGCUGAUGUGUUUGGCUUACUUGUGUUGCUGCUU